UAAGCAUAUAAGUAAGCGGAGGAAGAGAAACUAAAUAGGAUUCCCUCAGUAAUGGCGAACGAACAGGGAAGAGCUCAGAUUGGAUAUCGGGGCCUGUGGCUCCGAAUUGUAGUCUCGAAAUGCAAUGCCAUCGGGGGCGCAGAUUUAAGCCUCUUGGAAGAGAGCGCCGGCGAGGGUGAGAGUCCCGUUCGUCAAUUUGCAGUCCUCCGUACACGGCUUGCACUUGUUGAGUCACGUUCCUCGGGAUUGGAGCGCAAAUAGGGUGGUAAAUUUCAUCUAAAGCUAAAUAUAUGUUUGAGACCGAUAGCACACAAGUACCAUGAGGGAAAGAUGAAAAGGACUUUGAAAAGAGAGUUAAAAGUGCCUGAAAUUGCUGCAAGGGAAGCGGAUGGAACCAGUCCACGCGGUGAGAUUGUUGGGCGGAGGCGUGCGGGGUUGCACUUUCAACGAAAGUGGGGGUGUGAGUCUCAAUCGCCUUUCGCCUGAUGGUUCUUGCCGUGGGGGUCAUUGGUGAUUGGCAGCCGGGGAAACCUUCAAAGGCAUGGUAGCCCGUCUCCGGAUGGGUGAACGCGUUUGAUAGCACUCGGCCGCUGAUCAUAUCCGAGGUGUCCGGUAACUGGCGGCCUUGAGCGCAACGCGAGAACCAAUCGGUUCUUGCUGCGCGUUCGGCCGUAGGUCCUGACACACAUCUACGACCAAAUGGUUCUUUCCGACCCGUCUUGAAACACGGACCAAGGAGUCUAGCAUAUGUGCGAGUGCUUGGGCUGCAAACCCGUGCGCGCAACGAAAGUGACUGCUGGGAUGUUUGCACCAGCAACCGACUGAUCAAUUGCGAGACGUUUGAGUGUGAGCAUAUCUGCUAGGACCCGAAAGAUGGUGAACUAUGCCUGUGAAGAGCGAACCCAGGGGAAACUCUGGUGGAGGCUCGUAGCGAUACUGACGUGCAAAUCGUUCGUCAUACAUGGGUAUAGGGGCGAAAGACUAAUCGAACCAUCUAGUAGCUGGUUCCCUCCGAAGUUUCCCUCAGGAUAGCUGGAGUUGAUCAGUUUUAUCAGGUAAAGCGAAUGAUUAGAGGAAUUGGGGGCGCGUUGUCUUCGACCUAUUCUCAAACUUUAAAUGGGUAAGAUCGAUUAGUUACUUAAUUGAACUUUUCGGACAAAUGUCAACUCCAAGUGGGCCGUUUUUGGUAAGCAGGACUGGCGAUGAGGGAUGAACCUAACGUUCGGAUAAAGUGCUUAACUGCUCGCUCAUCAGAUACCAUAAAGGGUGUUGGUUCAUUUUAACAGCAGGACGGUGGUCAUGGAAGUCGAAAUCCGCUAAGGAGUGUGUAACAACUCACCUGCCGAAUGGACUAGCCCCGAAAAUGGAUGGCGCUUAAGCGGGCGACUGAUACCGAACCAUUGUUGCAAUUAUGCUGCAUCAAUGAGUAGGAGGGCAUUGAGGUUGUGGUGAAGCUCUUGGGGUAAUCCUGAGUGAAACAGCCUCUAGUGCAGAUCUUGGUGGUAGUAGC
rnacentral:rRNA from 1 species